UCCACACCCUUUGAUUCGGAUAUUUGUUUUCAUUUUCACUGUACAGGUGAUCCAAUAGUCGACGUUAGCUUGAAUCCAAGGCCAUAAACUUUCGAGAAUCGAGAUUUAAGGGCACAUUCCACUUGACCGAUGCUAAUCUAUUGUAUUCUGGAUCGGCCACUGCAAAUAAUAAGGGAAGCAAAGGCAGUUCACUGUGCUUCAAUUAGCACUUGCUGCCAAUCAAUGUGGGGGUAACAGAUACAAGACCAAUAAGGAAUAGGGUGGCUAUAGAGUUGAAGUCAUAAAGAUCACCAACUGAUUGUAACUCACCAAGAGCUAAUCCAGCCUGCAAAUAGCAAAAGGACAGUUCUUAGAUCUUGGUUAGUAAA